UGAGCCGCCAAGUAGUGUUGGUGGUGGAGAUAAGACUAAUGGAAGGGGUGGUGAUGGAAGAGAAGAAGAUAAUGGUGGUGGAAGAGGAGCAGAAGGUGGCGGGAGGGGUAGAACCGGAGUAGGUGGAGAUAGGAUUGGAACCGGAGAAGGCGUUGCUGAUGGUGUUGGUGGUGGUAGCACUGGAGUAGGUGGAGGUAGGAUUGGAACCGGAGAAGGCGUUGCCGAUGGUGUUGGUGGUGGCUGAGUUGGAAAUAAAGGUGGUAAUGGAGGGAGUAUAAUCGGUGUAGGGACAAAUGGGAUAACGGGUGCUA
rnacentral:lncRNA from 1 species